AUCAUCUCCAACAUGGCAGAAAUUCCACAUCCUGCAGUGGAGGAGGGGACUUCUGCCUCCAAUAGGGUGGUCCUCAGUGAAACAGAAUUCCACAACUUCUCAAAGUAAUGGUGACCAUGUGGGGGCCCAGACAUUGGCAGUAACUGAUGAUAACUCUACAGAUCUUGAGACAGAUCCAUUAGACAAGAUAGGAAGAGAUUUCCAAACCAAGGAUGGACAAGGACCUCACAAACAGGAAUUGAAGCAAUGUAUGCUCAGCGGGAGGACCAACAUCAGCCCUCCACGCAACACAAAUCACCUGCAGCAGUACUCCAUGCACCAUCACUUACUCAGAACACGUGGGUAUUUCUCUGUAAGCUCG